rnacentral:rRNA from 1 species
GACGAACGCUGGCGGCGUGCUUAACACAUGCAAGUCGAACGGAAAGGCCCUGCUUUUGUGGGGUGCUCGAGUGGCGAACGGGUGAGUAACACGUGAGUAACCUGCCCUUGACUUUGGGAUAACUUCAGGAAACUGGGGCUAAUACCGGAUAGGAGCUCCUGCUGCAUGGUGGGGGUUCGAAAGUUUCGGCGGUUGGGGAUGGACCCGCGGCUUAUCAGCUUGUUGGUGGGGUAGUGGCUUACCAAGGCUUUGACGGGUAGCCGGCCUGAGAGGGUGACCGGCCACAUUGGGACUGAGAUACGGCCCAGACUCCUACGGGAGGCAGCAGUGGGGAAUAUUGCACAAUGGGCGGAAGCCUGAUGCAGCAACGCCGCGUGCGGGAUGACGGCCUUCGGGUUGUAAACCGCUUUCGCCUGUGACGAAGCGUGAGUGACGGUAAUGGGUAAAGAAGCACCGGCUAACUACGUG